UACGGAGGAUGGAAGCGUUAUCCGGAAUGAUUGGGCGUAAAGCGUCCGCAGGUGGCGAUGUAAGUCUGCUGUCAAAGCGUCUGGCUCAACCAGAUAAAGGCAGUGGAAACUACAUAGCUAGAGUAAGGUAGGGGUAGAGGGAAUUCCUGGUGUAGCGGUGAAAUGCGUAGAUAUCGGGAGGAACACCAGUGGCGAAGGCGGUUACCUGGAGCUUUGCUGACGCUGAUGCGCGAAAGCGUGGGGAGCGAUCCGG
rnacentral:rRNA from 1 species